rnacentral:rRNA from 1 species
UACGUAGGUGGCAAGCGUUGUCCGGAAUUAUUGGGCGUAAAGCGCGCGCAGGCGGUCCCUUAAGUCUGAUGUGAAAGCCCACGACUCAACCGUGGAGGGUCAUUGGAAACUGGGGGACUUGAGUGCAGAAGAGGAAAGUGGAAUUCCAUGUGUAGCGGUGAAAUGCGUAGAGAUGUGGAGGAACACCAGUGGCGAAGGCGACUUUCUGGUCUGUAACUGACGCUGAGGCGCGAAAGCGUGGGGAGCAAACAGG